AAAAUUCCUCCAGACUUUGGAAUUCUCAGGCGCAAAUUGAUCAAAAAUUAGCUAAUCAGAUUAAUGAUCUCCGCCAAAGUGUAACCUGGCUGGGAGAUAGAGUUAUGAACUUGCAACACCGUAUGCAAUUACAGUGUGAUUGGAAUACUUCUGAUUAUUGCAUAACGCCUUAUGCUUAUAAUCAAGAUCAACAUAGCUGGGAAAAUGUCUCAAGACAUUUAAAAGCCUGGGAUGAUAACUUAACCUUGGAUAUUUCACAACUUAAAGAGCAAAUCUUUGAGGCUUCACAAGCCCAUUUAUCCACAGUUCCUGGCUCACACAUUUUUGAAGGCAUAACUAAACAAUUACCUGAUUUUAAUCCCUUCAAAUGGCUCAAACCCGUCAGAGGAUCAUUGUUGUUACUGGCAUUAUUAAUAUUGGUAUGCUUAUGUUGUCUCCUUUUAGUCUGCAGAUGCCUCUAAGGAGUCCGAAACCAAGUCCGAAGUCAACAACAAGCAAUGAUGGCGAUGUAUGACGCCGUGCCCAUCCAGUCCAGCGUGGUGUUAUGUUCCUGCCCAUCCCCAUCAAUGGUGAGGACCCAGACUGAGUCCAGCACGCCCCCUGGCAUUCCUGGUGGCAGCAGGCAGGGCCCCGCCAUGGACGGCACUGCAGCCGAGCCUCGGCCCGGCGCCGGCUCCCUGCAGCAUGCCCAGCCUCCGCCGCAGCC
rnacentral:lncRNA from 1 species